ACAUCAUAUCCUUCCGCUAAACCGCCACACCUCUACACCUCUGCAACAACAUACAGGCUAUUUCAUCACAGAUGUCACGAAUGUGGAACUACAUCACAUGACCAGUUCGCGUAACGGUUUAUUGCCCAAACGAAACAAGUGCAUGCGGCUUGGUAGCGCGUAGGAAUAUAUCAAGCACUUGCUCCGAGUAGAUGGGAUGCUUGUGAGUGAUUAUUGUGCCUAAGAGAGGGAAAUAGACUACUGAGAGACGUUGUUUGGUCAAGCUUGAGGAAGGACAGUGUCCAGAAUGGAUUUAUCUAUUACGCCUUGUGUGUUGUCAUUGCUGCUCGUAGGAAUUAGCUAUGCCCAAGAAAUUAAGGUUUACCCUUCAUAUAAGAGUAUAAGGCGUGAAACAAGCCAAAACGGAUUAUUAAUUACCUGCGAAGUCGAUGGGUUAGCAGAUGAUCAAAAUGCAAACUUGGAGUGGCUGGACCCAGCUGACAACGUCAUUGGACCUUACAAUAGUGCAAUAAAGUCAAGGAUCUACUCCCGGCAGAUGGGCACCAGUAACCAGAACCUGAGGUUUGACACACUGAAGGAUGGAGAUGAGGGGGUGUAUACAUGUCGAGGCACGAUCGGCGGCAACACCAUAACUAAUGAUAUACGGCUGGAACUCUACGACGGAAUCAAGGUGUUGUCCAACCACACCCAGCAACCUAACAUCUACACCGACGCUGUGAUUGCCUGUGCCGUCACAGCCAACCCCUCACCUACUGUGCAGUGGACGUUUGGCAACGGCACAAAGGUCAGAGGUGAGCGCUAUCGUCUACUGCCACAGGGCCUGGAGAUCAAGAACAUCACAAUGGCUGACAAUGGAGUGUACAUCUGCUCAAUCAUUCUCAUUGAGACUGGAGACCUUUUGCCAUUCCACAUCAAUGUCACAGUGACAGUUCCACCUUCCCUGAAGGGCCCCCCAACUAGGAGUACGGCCAUUGUCGGCAAGCGGUUCGAGAUGACGUGCGUGGCAGAUGGUACUCCACGACCAUCAUUUACCUUCAAGAAGGACAAGCUGGUUCUAUCGGGACAAAGAUACAAGGUGAGCAUCACCAAUGAUGUGAAUGAAACCCGAGGGAUGCUGGUGAUCGAGCACCUCCAGAACACCGAUGAGGGGACGUACUCCUGUAUCGCCCAUAACCAAGGUGGAAAUGUGUCCGAGUCUGUCUUCAUCGACACCAUUGCGCCUCCUAUAAUUGAGCCUAUCAUUAACAAGACUGAGCCAGAGGGCUAUGCUGUGGAGCUUGUGUGUGUUGCUAAGGGAGACCCAGCCCCGAUGGUCACAUGGAGAGUCAAGGGCUCCGACAUCCCCAUUUCAGCCAGUCAGGACAUCACCAUUGAAUAUCAACACGAAAAACUGCCUUUGAUUCAAGUUACAACAGUGAAACUCAAGUUCGCCAGACUGGAACAAAAGAACGCUAAUAACUACACAUGCUCCGCCUCCAAUGAAGCUGGUACUGUGGAGAAGGAUGGCAACGUUGUCGUUCAGUUUAAGCCUUACUUUGCGGACACCCCGUACUCGUCAACCUACGGCUGGGUAAACCACAAGUCGGAGAUCAAGUGUGUUGCGAAUGCUGUCCCUCUUGCUGUCAUCAUUUGGAAAUACAACGACGCCAUCAUCACCGAUGGACCAUUCUUCAGUAUUAGCUCAAAGCAAGGAAAUCGACAGAUGAUCAGCAUUCUAGAGGUGUCGGUGAAUGUUGAAAAUGAAAACACAAUCUUUAGGAACUUCACAUGUGAAGCCCUGAAUUUACUCGGAAAGUCCGAGAAGGUCUUUACCUUGAAACAGGCCGUGGAGCCAGCAUCUCCGACUAUUUCCAUUGGAGUGAUGACUCCCAUGACCAUCGAGCUAAUAAUAACCCCUCCUGAAGAGACAGGGGGCCCACCCGUCACUGACUACAGGGUCGUGUACUACGCAAAGGGUGAUGAACAGAACAGGUUCGCACGAAUGGCACCUGUUGGAACAAAUUCCCAGAAGUUUGAGACUCAGCUCCUUCUCGAUAAUCUGGAAGCCAACGUGCUCUACGUCAUCAGCGCAGAGGCUCGGAACAGCGUUGGUUAUGGAGCCAAGGCCGCAAUCUUUGUGUCCACACCAGCCGUCAGGCAACCGAGCCCUCCAAAAGUUACCUCCCCUAGGUCGAGUGACACUCCCCACACCUAUCUGUUGGUUUGGGAGAAACCAGAGACGGGAGGUUCACCAUUGACUGGCUACAAAGUCAGGUAUUACCAGGUGGAACUGUACGACGGUAACCCCGAGAAGGUGAAGACAGUAGUCGGUGACAGGAAAACUCUGACUAUAAGCCAGGACAAUAAGACUGAGGUCAGACUAACUGAACUGAUGCCCAACUCCACCUACGAACUGCAGAUCACUGCCAUAAACGCUAUCGGCGUCUCCAUGGCAACACGUAAACUAGUCACAACACCACCUGUUCAAUUCAAGCCUAACUUUGCGGACACCCCGUACUCGUCAACCUACGGCUGGGUAAACCACAAGUCGGAGAUCAAGUGUGUUGCUAAUGCUGUACCUCCUGCUGUCAUCAUUUGGAAAUACAGCGACGCCAUCAUCACCGAUGGACCAUUCUUCAGUAUUAGCUCAAAGCAAAGAAAUCGACAGAUGAUCAGCAUUCUAGAGGUUUCGGUGAAUGUUGAAAAUGAAAACACUAUAUUUGGGAAGUUCACGUGUGUGGCUGAGAACACCCUUGGCGUGUCCGAAAAGGACAUCAUCUUGAAGCAGGCUGUGAAGCCAUCGGCCCCGAGUAUUUCAGUUGAUAGGCUGACCCCCAGGAGCUUCCGUCUGCUGAUUACUAAAAGUCAAGAAACUGGUGGGCCGCCCAUCAUUAACUACAUGAUUGUGUAUUACGCUCAAGACGAUGUUAAGAACAAGUUCAAAAUGAGGGUACCUGUUAAUGCAAACCCCGAGGAAUUGCAGACUCAGGUCUUCAUCGAUUAUCUUGAAGCCAAGGUAAAAUACAACAUCAGGGUGAAGGCUCGGAACAGCGUGGGCUAUGGAGCCAAGGCAAAAAUCUCUGCCAAGACCCUGGUCUACCCCCCACUGUCUCUGGAAGUCCCCGCUAUUGUGAAUGAUCCCAUUGUCGGCACCAAGUUCGUGAUGACUUGCAGCGCAAAAGGCAGUCCGUACCCAUCAUUAAUCUUCCAGAAGGACAACACAACCCUGUCGGGGGAGAGAUACAAGAUGGGGGUCCUAAAUGAUGUGGAUCGAACCGAUGGGAUCCUGUUGAUCGAGCACCUCCGGAACACCGAUGAGGGGACGUACUCCUGUGUCGCCCAUAACCAAGGUGGAAAUGUGUCCGAGUCUGUCUUCAUCGACACCAUUGUACCGCCUAUUAUUGAGCCUAUCAUUAACAAGACUGAGCGAGAGGGCAAUGCUGUGGAGCUUGUGUGUGUUGCAAAGGGCGACCCAGCCCCGAUGGUCACAUGGAGAGUCAAGGGCUCCCACAGCCCCAUUUCCGACAGUCCGGUAGUGAGAGUCUUCACCAUUGAAGAACACGUUGAAGUAAAGCCUCCGAUUCAUGUCAGGGCUGCGACACUCACGUUCACCAGAUUGCAACCAGAGCACGCCAACAACUACACAUGUACCGCCGCCAAUGUGGCUGGAACUGACGAGAAGGAUGGCAACAUUAUCGUUGAGUGGCAACUGACCAACCCAUAGUGUAGUGUUGUUGUGGCUGGAUUUAACCCAAGAUUGGAAGAACGUUCCCGAUUGGCGACAAGAGAACACAGAGAGUACCAGAAGGAACCCGCCGUCUACAAUAGUGGUAUCCAGACCUCUGAGAGAAUUAUGUUGCAAAUACUAAGCAAACAACAUAAUAAAUGCAGUCCAUCACAGUUAGGCACAGAACUUUUCAGCCACCCCUCGUACCAUGCACACUGAAAAUAUAUGGCAUCUGAUGUGUUGUUGAGCGGAUACAGUCACAUUCACAACCUGAUAAAUGGCAUCCAGUGUCCAGCACACCCAAGUGAAGAGCAAAGUGAUCUUGAAGCGAAAGUGUAAAUCAUCAGUUCAGAUGGAACAUUCCCAUUUUCUAGCAUCUGAUGAAAUUCCUUUUUUGAAAUUUCGCCUGACACUGCAAACAGUGGACACAAUAUCGUGUUCUUAUCAAGUGAUAGAAGUGGUGAUACCUUUGAUCUGGGCAUUUGGAAUGAUAGAACCAGUGUGGGAUAACAAUGGCAUGAAAUGCUUUUUAGGAAAGGGGGCACUUCUCAGCACAAGUGUGAUCAUUAUUCAGCUGCAGUCAUUGCUCUCAUAUGGACAUGUCUGAUUUUAUGAUGACGUAGAAGAAAGGUUCUACAUGUACCGCGGACACUUAUCUAAGUAGAGAUUUCAGAGAAGAGCAGUUCGCCAUCCGAAAUUGCAUGUGUUCACUGGAUGUGACUUAGUGCAUUAAAAUGUAAAGGCAAGAAGUCAUAUCCACACGGGAACACAUCACAGAGGUUUCAACUGAGUUAGAGUCACAAGUAUCAGGUGGACUAGCUCAGUCACUUAAGAAAUGUGUCUGCUCAUUGUAUGGAGAAGACAGCUGGAGAACUGUAAGUGAAGCACAACUGGUUCAACUGGCUGCAAGUGGGAGACAUCUCUUUGUCGCAACAAGGAUUCCCAGAAGCGGCAUGUCCAACAAGCAAAUAACAAAGUUGCAAUUCAGCGUCCAAGCCUCGAGAAAUGCAUUGGAGCGACAAAUCCGCUUGGACAUUAACGGCUGAGAGACUAUGACAUAAUUCUUGUGAAAUGGACUGCCACCCUAAUUGCUCCUGAGACUAUUCUUGUCUUUGUUCAUUGCAGAUGUUUCUUCUACUAAUGGUUUGCAUGCAAGCGCAUUUUUCAAUUGCAGAGAACCGUGUAUGUCAACGUACACAUAUCGAUAACUAUUAUUAGUAGCCUGCAGGACUUUAUAUUUCUGACAAGAAUAGAUCAAGUGUUUCAAUGACACAACCAGCUUGUCCGAAAUGAGUUGUGGACUAGUUGGACAUGGCCAGUGAUGUCUACUGCAGUGAUCUGUCGUCAGUAAUUUACUAUAUUUAGAUACUAGCGUGGUGUGUAAACGUCCUGUCCAGCAUACCACGGACGGUGAUAGAAUGUUAUGGAAACUUUAAUGUUCUAGUUCCGUGAGACGAGUGAGGGCACUGUAUAGAAAACACCAGUUGCUUGAUAGGCUGUAUACAUAGUGGGACCAAAACAUGUUUACGUAUCUCUCACGCAUUUUUAGUCAUCAGAACCAACUUUCAUGUGAGGAUCGUUCAUUAUCGCAGAUUCCCUGCCUAGGUCAUCUCGGAAGUUUGACCCCUUUCGCCACUGGGUGAAUAUAUAUUAUUAUCACUGACUUUUGCUUUCACCACUGCAUUUUUAUAUUUGAAACUGAUCACUGCCAUCAUAUUAUAUAUUGUCGUUGAAUGUUGUACUACCACCCUACUGUACUGCCAUCGUAAUUGCUGUGCAGUAAUUUGUGUUCAUUUGUAAACCUAGUUAGUUUUGUAAUACACAUUUUAAUUGUA
rnacentral:misc_RNA from 1 species